AAAGCCAGCCUCCGGCCAAACCAUCUGUUUUCAUCAUGAAAAAUGGAACAAAUGUUGCUUGUCUGGUGAAAGAUUUCUACCCUAAAGAGGUGACUAUAAGUCUCAGAUCAUCCAAGAAGAUUGUGGAAUUCGACCCUGCUAUAGUCAUCUCCCCCAGCGGGAAGUACAGUGCUGUCAAGCUUGGUCAGUAUGGAGAUUCGAAUUCAGUGACAUGUUCAGUUCAGCACAACAGUGAAACUGUGCACUCGACUGACUUUGAACCAUAUGCAAAUUCUUUCAAUAAUGAAAAACUACCAGAACCUGAAAAUGACACACAAAUUUCAGAGCCUUGCUAUGGCCCAAGAGUCACAGUUCACACUGAGAAGGUAAACAUGAUGUCCCUCACGGUGCUGGGCCUACGACUGCUGUUUGCCAAGACCAUUGCCAUCAAUUUUCUCUUGACUGUUAAGUUAUUCUUUUAAGGUGGGCUGACAUGAGGAGACUACGGUUCCUGAAAGAAAUCAAAAGCUUAGAAAGAUGCUAUAUCCCAGGCUUCCAACUUCUCAGUGCUUCAGACUGACCCUUCACCACCACAUUUAAACAGCUGCUAACAAAACCAGCUUUUCUGUGACAGCAACAAGCCUAGCUAAUCCUCCAGUCUAGAAGAAAAGCAAAAGCCCUCGGGACCCCCGGCUUUACCUGCUGCUUUAUAAAGGCAUGGGAAGUUAUGAAAACAGAUCCAUUUUAUUUUGCCCCCAUAAUUGGUAUACUUUGAAAAUGGUGUUUCAUCCUUCUUCAUUUACCCAGAACUAGGAAGUGGGGACCAGCUUCAUUAUCCAGGAGGAAAUAAUCUUGAGAGAGAGAACCCGUAUCUUUUUAGCUAAACAUGGAAAGCUGUACUCAACUCAUCCCUAGCCAGAGCCCCCUCCUCCUCUCCUGAGGCGAGCAUGGCCCAGCCCCCCCCCCUUUGUAUUUACUCCAAUAGUCACACAGGAGAGUUUUCCUAGCAGCACUACGGUGUGAACAAUUUUAGCACUUUCUGUUUCUCCUAAUACUUUACAAACAAACUCACACUUGGCUUCCUUAAUGCUCUCCAAGCAGACAAUAAAGCUUCUAAGAUCGCAUC